CUGCUCACUUUGGCAGCAGUUAUACUAUAAUUGGAGUGGUACAGAAAAGAUUAACAUUGUCUCUGAUCAGGAAUGAUAUGCAAAUUCAUGAAGAGUUCCAUAUUUUU